rnacentral:tRNA from 1 species
GGCUUCAUAGCUCAGCGGUUAGAGCACUGGUCUCGUAAACCAGAGGUCGUGAGCUCAAUCCUCACUGGAGCCU